UCCAAUCCCGAGCAAAUCUUUUACAAAAAUUCCCGAAUUUCCCCCCAAAAAUUCCCAGAAAAUCACGGGAAGAAACCUGAAAAAAAUCCCAAAAUUUGGGCUGAAAAAUCCCAAUUUUGGGGCUGAAAAAUCCCAAAAUUUGGGGCUGAAAAAUCCCAAUUUUGGGGCUGAAAAUCCCAAUUUUUUUAAGUGGAAAAACCCCAGGUUUGGGUGGAAAAUUCCCAAUUUUUGAGGUGAAACUCCCAAUUAUUAAGUGGACAAAAAUUCCCCAAUUUUGAGCAGAAAAAUCCCAAUUUUGGGGAGUGAAAAUCCCAAUUUUUGAGCUGAAAAAUCCCAAAUUUUGAGCAGAAAAAUCCCAAUUUUUGGGUGGAAAAACCCCAAUUUUGGGAUCUUCCCAGCUGCUCCCAAACCAGAAUUUUGAUUUCAUUUUUUUCCCCAAAAAAACCCCAAUUUUUAAUAUUUUUUCCUAUGAUUUUAUUUCUUUAUUUUCCCUUUUUUUUUGGAUUUUAAACCAUUUUGGGGCAGAUCUGAAUUCAUUUUUCAUGAUUUUCCCCCAGAUUUUGGACAUUUCCCCUGAUUUUCGAUGCACUUUCAUUUUUAUUUCUCUUUAUUUUAAUUUUUUUUUUUUUCCCAUGAUUUCAGGGAUUUUUCCGUUAUUUUAUUUUUUUACCAUUUUUGUGCCGUUUUUUCCCAAUUUUUUUCCCAUUUUUGUGCCGUUUUUUUUCCUUUUUCCUCCAUUUUUUACCAUUUUUGCUGAUUUUUCCCCCAUUUCCCACAGAAAAAUUGGAGCAAGAGCCUCAAAUCCCAAAAAUCUCGGAUUGAAUCCAUCGGAAAAAACAGAACCAGGGGGAAUUUUGGGGCAAAAUCCCCAAAUUUUGGGGCUUUUUGCUGCUCAAACCCUCAAAAUUUGGGUUUUUCCCCCAGAAUUGGGAAUUUUUUUGGGGAAAAAAAAUGGGAAUUUCAAGCCCAAGUCAGCGCAGGGGAAAAUCCUCGGGAAUUUGGGGAGGAUUUGGGAUUUAUUUACAAUUUUGAUGGCUGAGGAAGGACCCAAAAAGGGACAAAAUGGCCCCAAAAUGGCCCCAAAAUGGGGCAGCUCCCGGGGCCAUCCCAGGGAAUUUGGGGGAAUUUUUGGGGAUUUUUUGGGAUUUUUUGGGGGGAUGAAUUUGGAUUUUGGGGAGGAUUUGGGUUGGUUCUGA
rnacentral:lncRNA from 1 species